AGGAUUAACGCUGGCGGCGUGCCUGACACAUGCAAGUCGAACGAGGCCGCAAGGCCGAGUGGCGGACGGGUGAGUAACACGUGACCAACCAACCUCGAAGUUGGGAAUAGCUCUGCGAAAGUAGGGGUAAUACCGAAUGUGGCCCAGGGCGGGCAUCCGCCUUGGUCUAAAGAUUCAUCGCUUCGAGACGGGGUCGCGGCCUAUUAGCUUGUUGGUGAGGUAACGGCUCACCAAGGCGAUGAUGGGUAGCUGGUCUGAGAGGACGACCAGCCACACUGGGACUGAGACACGGCCCAGACUCCUACGGGAGGCAGCAGUGAGGAAUCUUCCGCAAUGGGCGAAAGCCUGACGGAGCAACGCCGCGUGUGGGAUGGAAGACUCUAGGGUUGUAAACCACUGUCGGAGGGACGAUCGUGACGGGUACCCUCAAGAAAGCCCCGGCUAACUACGCGCCAGCAGCCGC
rnacentral:rRNA from 1 species